AUCUUCCUAGUAUAACGCUUAGUACAGGUGGCUUCCAACCAUCUAAUCUUGGUUAAAAUCCAAGGGGAGAUA
rnacentral:tRNA from 1 species